UUAUCAACGACCUGAUAGCUCUAAUGAUAUUAGAAGUUUUGGAACCUCAGUGCAGUUGUCCCAAUUUCAGGCCAUCGAAAGUUGAAUUCAAUUGCUCACUGAGAUGAUGGUGCUUCAUAUCUUGUCACUGUCUUGGAGGCUUGACAAUUUGACUGGUAAUGGAUCUUUACAUGCUGCUUGGACAUGGGUUAGGCUGCUGUCAUACAAAAAUGCAAAUGGGUAAGGAAUUUAAUGCUUUGCGUAGAAUUUGGUGUUCUAAGCUAUAUAACAGCAACUGUGUUCCAAAACUGAGCCUGAAAGUUAUAAUGCUUAUGUUAGCUGAAUGUUGCUAUCAUGAUAUGGUGAUUCAGUGCAAUGGUUCAGAGCAACUGAGAUAGUCUGGAAAGGAAGAGUCUGGUGCUGUUGAUCAGCAGGUAUGAUUCAGAGUAAUGUUACCAAGCAGUUCAGAAAGAGACUCAGAUUCAAAGUCAGAGAUAGGUUUAUUACUGAUAGAGUGAUAGGAGGCAGGCUGUUAGAUUUGUUUGUAGAUUUCGAGCUUCUCUUAAGUUUCACUUCAUACCUCAAAUUCUAAAAUGGCUGUUAGAUUUGUUUGUAGGAAGGUUCUUGCUGGAUAUUGCAUUGUCUACUUCUAAAAUACCUCAAAUUUAGGUAAGUGCGUGCAUAAAUAAUCUCAAAUGAUAGAUUUAUUCAAGUUUACAAUUUCUGAAGAAUUGAUACUCUGUUUGACAUAUUAGAGAGAAAUCAGAAUAUUUUUUAGAUGUUCCUGCAGAGUCUAUGGAAUUAUCGAUUGGAGUGCUUCCUACUACUGUCAGCUUCACUUAGCUCUUUGCCACAAUUUCAGUUUUGUUUUAUUCCCUUGCUGCAGAAUAUUUUAGAUUUGCUCUUCAAUGUGUGGAAUUGUAUAGAUGGAUUUGCAAGAGAAGAGAUGCAAGCUAUUUGCUCGGCCUCCUAAUCUUAUCACAACUCUGUAUGCAUUGAGUAAAAUUAUGUCAUACUGCACUAAUAUAUUUGAAGAGCAGUACCUGAUUGAAGCUCACAACAAAGCUAAAUGGCUGUGUUGAAAGCACAAACUGCAUAUAAAGGCUAUUCAACACCAUUUGAUACUUCUGGUAAUAAACCGGAAGCUAUAUUUUUCAGGCUUUAUGUUAAUCUACCUUAUUCCCCACAUGUUUUUUUCCUUGAUUUCUUGUGUAAACAUUUUUCUUUCCUGAUCCAUUGUUUCUUGCAGGUAAGAGCCCGAAGGGAGUGAAUAUUAAUGAACCUGGAACAAGCAGUUUGCAGUGUCAACCCAGCAGCUAAUAGAGGCACUACUGGUUCACCAUUCUCCUUGGUCGAGGGGCGGUGGACAUGGCUGCGGAAUCCUGCAGCUGCAGGUGGUGGCAGUUGUGGACUUGAGCGCACAAGGGAGGCGAAGAGAGCAGAUGCGGAUGGAGGGUGUGGAUGAAUGUGGUUGUGUAGUAAUAGUUCGGCCUGGAAUAAUGUAAUGGCUUUGUAUGUUUG